rnacentral:rRNA from 1 species
AAUGAACGCUGGCGGCGCGCCUAAUACAUGCAAGUCGAGCGAGAAGACGUAGCAAUACGUUUGUAAAGCGGCGAACGGGUGAGGAAUACAUGGGUAACCUACCCUCGAGUGGGGAAUAACUAGCCGAAAGGUUAGCUAAUACCGCGUACGCUUCUUGGACUUCGGUUCAGGGAGGAAAGCGAUGCCGAGGGUAUCGCGCUCUUGGAUGGGCUCAUGUCCUAUCAGCUUGUUGGGAGGUAACGGCUCACCAAGGCUUCGACGGGUAGCUGGUCUGAGAGGACGAUCAGCCACACUGGCACUGCGACACGGGCCAGGACUCCUACGGGAGGCAGCAGUAAGGAAUAUUGCGCAAUGGGCGAAAGCCUGACGCAGCGACGCCGCGUGGGGGAGUGAAGGUCUUCGG